rnacentral:rRNA from 1 species
UACGUAGGUGGCAAGCGUUGUCCGGAUUUAUUGGGUUUAAAGGGAGCGUAGGCGGCUUUGUAAGUCAGUGGUGAAAUAUGGCAGCUCAACUGUCAGGGUGCCAUUGAUACUGCAGAGCUUGAGUACAGAUGAGGUAGGCGGAAUUGACGGUGUAGCGGUGAAAUGCUUAGAUAUCGUCAAGAACACCGAUAGCGAAGGCAGCUUACUGGGCUGUAACUGACGCUGAGGCACGAAAGUGUGGGGAUCAAACAGG